AUGGAGUUUGGGCUGAACUGGGUUUUCCUUGUUGCUAUUAUAAAAGGUGCCCAGUGUGAGGUGCAGCUGGUGGAGUCUGGGGGAGGCUUGGUACAGCCUGGGGGGUCCCUGAGACUCUCCUGUGCAGCCUCUGGAUUCACCUUCAGUAACCAUUACACGAGCUGGGUCCUCCAGGCUCCAGGGAAGGGACUGGAGUGGGUUUCAUACAUUAGUGGCGAUAGUGAUUACACAAACUACGCAGACUCUGUGAAGGGCCGAUUCACCAUCUCCAGGGACAACGCCAAGAACUCACUGUAUCUGCAAAUGAACAGCCUGAGAGCCGAGGACACGGCUGUGUAUUACUGUGUGAAACACACAGUAAAUAUCUACAUUUUUGACAAAGCAAAUAUGAAUUACUGGUAAUUCAAGAAAGGUGGGAAUUUGCUUAAACCUGAGUAUUUGUAGUCUUUGUGACUUUUUUAAAUUUUAAAUUUAAAUUUUCUUUUUUUUUUCUUUUUUUUUGAGAUGGGGUCUCACUCUGUCGUCCAGGCUGGAGUGCAGUAGCACAAUCUCAGGUCACUACAACCUCCACCUCCCGAAUUCAAACGAUUCCCCUGCCUCAGCCUCUGGUGUAGCUGGCAUUACAAGUGUGUGCCACCACGCCCAGCUAAUUUAUGUAUUUUUAGUAGAGAGGAGGUUUCACUGUGUUGCCCAGGCUGGUCCCAAACUCCUUGACCUCAAGUGAUCUGCCCACCUUGGCCUCCCAAAGUGCUGGGAUUACAGGUGUGAGCCACAGCACCUGGCCUUAUUUUUAUUUUUUUGAGACAGACUCUCAGUCUGUCGCCCAGGUUGGAGUGCUGUGGCAUGACCUCCGCUCACUGCAACCUCCACCUCCCAGAUUCCAGCGAUUCUAAUGCCUCAGCCUCCUGAGUAGCUGGGGUUACUAGACCCGGCUAAUUUUUGUUGUAUUUUUUUAGUAGAGACUGGGUUUCCCCAUGUUGGCCAGGCUGCUCUGGAACUCCUGGCCUCUAGUGAUCCACCUGCCUCGUCCUCCCAAAGUGCUGGAAUUACAGGCAUGAGCCACUGCCCCCAGCCAAUCUUUGUGAUAUUUUGAAAUUGACGUUUAUAUUUUGUUCAGAGUCAAAGCUAAAAUAGAAUUGUUUGAAAAUUAAUAUUUC